ensembl:lncRNA
UCCACACUUCUUCUGUCCUUUUGGACCCAGCAGUGCCCCCACCACUCAGCCCCUCAGUUUCCUGUACCCAAGUCCACGAGGGACGCUCAGCCCAGCAGCAGAGGAGUUGACCUCAGGUUUUUCUGGUGACACCAGCGCUGACACUCUGCCUCCUCCACGUUGGCAUGGAUGCUUAGAAGAGCUGCUCCCAAAGGUGCAGAGAUCAGCUUCUUCUGGAAGAAAUGUAUCUAAAAUGAGCAGAAGUGCUCUCCUGUGUAUCACGGGGACGUUGUCAUCUCCCAGGCUGUGAUAUGUGGCUAAAAAAAGAACAGAGGGCUCCUAAAAGUAGCCGAAAAGUGCAUGAUCUGAUUUUUUUUUUAACCAAUCAGCAUAAUACAUUUCACCCUAUGGUUUAUUUCUCCGUAAACCUUGCCACAAUUGCUGGAAGCUUCUAACUGGAAAGGAUGCCAACUUGAGCUGGAGGACACAUCUAAGAGAUGACCUCAGGCCAACUGAAAGAAGGUAGAGCAUUUUAGGAGGACCGUUCCAUUUAUUCUUGCAAUUUAGACGCUUCACUGACUUCUGAUCAUCUUCAGAAUGGAUAAAAUGCCAAUGGACCGUACUGAAUGGUAAAUAAAUGGUACUACAGCCCACUGACUGUUAGUCGUUCGUUAAUAUAUCUACAUAGGGAUAACACUGUGGAGACUAAAUCCUGAAUAAAACUGUCUGAGGUGAUACAAAAACGAACAUGAAAAGGAUGACCCUAAGCUAAAAAGAUUACUUGUGUUUGUUUGGCUCGAUGGCUGUAAUAGCAGCAGUAUUCAGCUGGAACAAUUAUUGGGUAGAAAAGAAGGGUUUUUUUUUUGUAUAAGUUCAGAAUGCUUUCACUGUUAUUAUCUAAAAUUGAACUAUGUAUAUUAUUUUAAAUGGGUAAAUUUUUGUUUUGUAUCCAUGAAAUUGCUACCACAUUAACAAGAUUUUCCAGGCAUUAAUGGAUUGAUUUCUGUUAAAUUGUAACUAUAUUAAUUCAUCCCAAUUACCUCUAAGUAAAAUUUAAAUUAAGUUAAAUUGAAGAAAUUAAAAAUGUUUGAAAACCCUGCAUGGAAACCUUGAGGCAUCAUAAGAUUGUCAUUUCUCAUCUUUAAUGUCAUUCAUUUUGCAACUGAGAACACAACAUAAGUAGUCUCAGUUCUCACAAGAUUUGUAAGCUGCUAUUUUUCUGUACAAUUUGAAGGUAAUUUAAAGGUAUCUCAAUAAGUCCAACCUGCUUUUUUUUUUUUUUUCUUCCCUCCUGAUGGAAAAGGCUGUUUGCUCCUUUCCUAAGAAGGAAGCUGAUGUAUGGAUGAUCCAUUUAUAAUGAGAAGAUACUCUGCCAUAAAGACAGGUUUAAAUGAAUACAGGAAGUGCUGUCAUUGGUCUCAUUGAGAGAGCACUCGGAGUAGGCAUAGAGGAAGUGCUGGCUGCCCAGUAGUGACAUGCAGCUCCUGAGUGCAACAUUGCUCCAAAUGGCAGAAGAAUCCUUCUUCUGAAGGUUAUGGCUAAGGAUUAGCCUUCUGCAAAGCCUGGUGACAGAUCCAGGCUGAGAUAGCUUUAAUCUGAUGCUGGGGAACACAACUAUGUUCUGGUUUAGCCAAGCUCUGAGUUGCUCACAUCUGGGCUAGAAAUAUUUGAGUAGAAACUGACUCUAAAUGAGAAAAGUUUGUACAUUCUCCCAAGUUAUGUUACAAUUUACAGGGGAAAGAGAACUGGGAAUAGAACUGGAGGUCUCAGCAGAUGGUAACUCAAAGUGUUCAUUCAUCUCCUGAUCAACCGCUUCUUGAAAAAGGCCCUUCCAAAAGCACAGUUCUCCAGAUCCUGAUUUCUAGACACAUUCGGAGCAUGGAAGGGCCUUGUCUGCAUGUCUGUGAAGGUGGUCAAUGCGCUGCACUGAGGUGGAGAUCAAGUUUUAUUAAUGGAGGAUGUCAUGCUGUGAAACUGUUGGCAUUUCACGACUUCUCUUUGGCUUCCUUUGUCCUUGGAAGCUCUGUAUUCUUCAAGGUUGGCCCGGUGGUCUGCUCAGAGGUAAUAACUGCUAACUAGAACUAGCAGAAACCAGACAAAGUACUCAGUUUAGAUCAUCCAUGCUCUGAGAGAAUUAGACGGAUGCAGGUCACGCUGAGGAGAACCAGGGAAGCUGUUCCCCUCCCUGCAGCAGAGUCAUUCAAACUGAAAGCUGCUCGCAGGAGGGAGGAGGAUUGGAGAAAGGUGCUUCUUAAUUGCAUUUUGGUUCUGGACCCUCUGGUGAGCGGAGACACUGGGAACAAAUGAAAGUUUCUGGUGCUGGGAAGGAAAAAAAUAGCAGGAAAAAGUUUUGCCGCUUAGAGCAGGGAAAUAGUUUGAGGCUAUGUUUUAAUUAAAAUGAAUAUCUGCGCUAUCUUAAUGUUAUUGCCAGUUAAGUGUAGCAGGGUGAUUUAGAGUUCUAUAACACAAUUAUACUCCGGUAAUGAAGCUCCGCAGAAUUAUCCCAGGAAUUCAGAAUGCAGUGGGGAGCAGUAGCUCUCAUUUGUAACCAUGUUACAACCUUUAUUGUUACAAUAUUUUCUGUUUUCCUCGAAGAUUAACUCAGUCGUAUUUAAGUCUCUGGUUACAUUAAAGAGAAAUUGGGAACGGGUGACAGGAGCUUUUUUACUGUCCCUGCAGCAGUUCAAUUCAAUAUGUUCUGCAACAGAGAGCCGACUGCCUUAACCUGUUCAAGAUCUUGGUCUUUCUAUUGGGGGACAGCAUGUAUGUUGUUAGCUAGAAUUAUCACAAGAAAUACAGCUUUGCAGGUGAGGCUUCAAAUGAGCAAAUAUUCCAGCAGGGAAGUCUCUAUUGGUGAUGUCUUGACAGCUGGUAUGAAGCCUUUCAAAGAUGCUCAGCUCCUUUGAAAUGCAUCUACAUCUGUUUCCUGUGGGUUUGUGUUACAUCCAGGAGCUGUGCGCUGAGGAUUGCUCCUUUGCUCCUGAGCUCAUGCUUGGGUUUCCAUAGGGUGGAACCCCCAGUGGAAAAGAAGGGCUGCAUGGGAACCAGUAGAUUCCUGCUCUGCUCAGUCCCCUCCUGUACACUUGAGAAAAACUUCUGUACUUCUCCAUCUGUGUUUCCAAUACAGCUGAGGAGAUGCGCACCCAGCCUUGCAAGUCAAUGAGUUUGACCUCAGGGGGGUACUCAAAUCAUGCCUGGCUUCUGUCCCUUGGUAUAGAAACAUUCCUAUCUCUUUAAGGAGGACACAGAUUCUAAUGGAUUGAUCUAUCCACGCACAAGAAGCACCUUAUUUCUCUACCGCAAGAAUUAACUUCGUCAGUCUGGAACUGAGCUAGAGCAUGAGCUCUUCAUGGCCACAGGAAGCCAGGCCUUGAGCAUGGGACUGAGUUAGAGUGAAUCUGAUGGAGUAUCCACACCAAAACUUACCAUCCCACAGCAAUUCCUCAUCACUGACUGAGAAAAGCACAAUAUUUUAUUUCCAGAGACAGGAAAUCUGCUUGGGGAAAACAAGAAGCCCUGCCCUAUCUUCAUUCCUAUCUGGAUAUAAAACUGUUCAGCAACGAGGAAAGCUGGAAUUGAAACUGAGCUAACUUUACUCAAGUGUUCGAUUUGCAGCAAACAGAUUAAAAGCGGAAAUGAAUCGAUACAGUAAUGCGAUCAAUCCUCAGGAACACCUCCAGAUCCCCAUGGCAGACCCCAGCAGUCUGAUUAAUCAAAGCAUACAGCCUGUGGAUAAGACUCUUUGCCUUUGUUUUUCCCACAGUUUUAUGUCACAACUGGGGUCCAGGCUGCUCAAAUGAGGCGUAUCUGUCAGCCCUACAGGAUCGUCACUCUUCAAACCUCAAAUCAUAUUCUUGCAGAUACAGAGACUCUGGCUCCAACCUAACGACACUUUCAGGGGUAAAAAAAAUUACAGAUUGGACAAUAAAAGUGUGUGUUUUAUACAU